rnacentral:rRNA from 1 species
CAGCAGCCACGGUAAUACGAAGGGGGCUAGCGUUGUUCGGAAUUACUGGGCGUAAAGCGCACGUAGGCGGAUAUUUAAGUCAGGGGUGAAAUCCCAGAGCUCAACUCUGGAACUGCCUUUGAUACUGGGUAUCUUGAGUAUGGAAGAGGUGAGUGGAAUUCCGAGUGUAGAGGUGAAAUUCGUAGAUAUUCGGAGGAACACCAGUGGCGAAGGCGGCUCACUGGUCCAUUACUGACGCUGAGGUGCGAAAGCGUGGGGAGCAAACAGGAUUAGAUACCCCUGUAGUCCCUGUCUCUUAUAC